rnacentral:rRNA from 1 species
GAACUCUGACCGAGCAACGCCGCGUGAACGAUGAAGUAUUCCGGUACGUAAAGUUCUUUUAUUAGGGAAGAAUAAUGAUGGAAAAAUCAUUCUGACGGUACCUAAUGAAUAAGCCCGGCUAACUAUGUGCCAGCAGCCGCGGUAAUACAUAGGGGGCAAGCGUUAUCCGGAAUUAUUGGGCGUAAAGGGUGCGUAGGCGGUUAAAUAAGUUUAUGGUCUAAGUGCAAUGCUUAACAUUGUGAUGCUAUAAAAACUGUUUAACUAGAGUAAGAUAGAGGCAAGUGGAAUUCCAUGUGUAGUGGUAAAAUGCGUAAAUAUAUGGAGGAACACCAGUAGCGAAGGCGGCUUGCUGGGUCUUUACUGACGCUGAGGCACGAAAGCGUGGGGAGCAAACAGGAUUAGAUACCCUGGUAGUCCACGCCGUAAACGAUGAGUACUAAAUGUUGGGUAAAACCAGUGUUGAAGUUAACACAUUAAGUACUCCGCCUGAGUAGUACGUACGCAAGUAUGAAACUUAAAGGAAUUGACGGGACUCCGCACAAGCGGUGGAUCAUGUUGUUUAAUUCGAAGGUACCCGAAAAACCUCACCAGGUCUUGACAUGCUUCUGCAAAGCUGUAGAAACACAGUGGAGGUUAUCAGUUGCACAGGUGGUGCAUGGUUGUCGUCAGCUCGUGUCGUGAGAUGUUGGGUUAAGUCCCGCAACGAGCGCAACCCUUAUUGUUAGUUGCCAGCACGUAAUGGUGGGACUUUAGCAAGACUGCCAGUGAUAAAUUGGAGGAAGGUGGGGACGACGUCAAAUCAUCAUGCCCCUUAUGACCUGGGCUACAAACGUGAUACAAUGGCUGUAACAAGAGUAGCUGAAA